AGAGUUUGAUCCUGGCUCAGGAUGAACGCUAGCGGGAGGCCUAACACAUGCAAGUCGAACGGGAUUGAGAGCUUGCUCUCAUGAGAGUGGCGCACGGGUGAGUAACGCGUGGAUAAUCUGCCCUGGUAUCUGGGAUAACAUCUCGAAAGGGGUGCUAAUACCGGAUAAGCCUACGGUCUCUUCGGAGUCUGCAGGAAAAGGUGGCCUCUAUUUAUAAGCUACCGUAUCAGGAUGAGUCCGCGUACCAUUAGCUAGUUGGUGGGGUAAUGGCCCACCAAGGCUACGAUGGUUAGCUGGUCUGAGAGGAUGAUCAGCCACACUGGAACUGAGACACGGUCCAGACUCCUACGGGAGGCAGCAGUGGGGAAUUUUGGACAAUGGGCGCAAGCCUGAUCCAGCAAUGCCGCGUGCAGGAUGAAGGCCUUCGGGUUGUAAACU
rnacentral:rRNA from 1 species